UUACAUCAAAGGAAGUAUUCCUGAAGAACUGGGAAGAAUCACAGAAUUAGAGUCACUUGAUCUCUCAUGGAACAAUCUAUCUGGUUCAAUUCCUCAGGGCUUGGCGUUGCUGACAACGUUGGGAGAGCUGAAUUUAUCCUACAAUGAUCUCUCAGGAAAGAUACCUUCAGGAUUUCAAUUAGAUACUUUCGGAGGAGAUUCGUACUUGGGAAAUGUAAAUCUUUGUGGGGCUCCACUAUCAAGAAUUUGUUUGCCCAAUGGCAGCAAGCAUCGGCACCGUAAACUUCAUCAACAUUUUGAUAUGGUGACAUACCUAUGUAUGUUGCUGGGGUUUGCAUCUGGAUUCUCCAUAGUUCUCGUCAUCCUCAUAUCCAGUGCAGCUGCAAGGAAGGCCUACUUUGAGUUCACCGACAACAUACUCAACAAGUUGCACACUGAAGCUGAUCUGAAAC
rnacentral:lncRNA from 1 species